UCAAACCCACGCAGCAGCAGCAGCUGCCAUCAGAAAAAAACGAAGAAAGAAAGGGUUAGGAGGAAAAAGGGAUCAGAGAAGAGAAGAGGGAAUCCGAGAGAGAAGGAGAGCACCGGAGGAGGGAGGUCCUCGCGCCCUCCUCGUGAACCGUCGUUGCCUCGCGCCGUCAUUCUUGCCGUGAAUCCCGUUGCCCCUGUUGCAACUGUUCUCGCCGUCGUAUUUGCCGCGAAGCCAAUGCCACCGAUGCCAUCGUUGCACGAGAAAAGGAAGAGGCUCACAGUGGAGGACCUGAUGCGAAGAGGGGAUGGCGCAUGAGGGAGAGACAGAGGUCGCAAUGGAGUUGUCCCGCCGCCUACGCCACGCCCUACUACCGUCGCCGAGCUCCCAUAGCCACCGCGUUUCACCGCGGUUGAGGGUGUCUCCACCACCGAACCUUGGCCGAUGAUACUACCACUGCACACGAGAGGAAGAGGAGCGAUGAGACAGAAUGCGACUGAAGGAGAGAAAGGGGUUCAGGCCACCGCUGCUACUUGCAUUUUGAGCUGCUGCACCGCCUCUACCGCUGGAGAAUGUCGCUGUGUCGCUGAAAAACCACUGUUGCCGCCGCCUGGGUCACGUGGAGGGAGGUAGAGCCAUUGGGUGUCGCUGCACCUUGCUUCCGCCGCCUCUGUCGCCAGAAACAGCCACCGAGUCCACUGUUUUGGAUUGUGUAUUCGUGCUUGCAUUUCAUGCUCGAAGUUUGCCGCUGCCUCAUUUUAUCAUUUUAGUAGAGCUGUUUAUGCUGCUGCAAAAGUGUGUGGGGCUGUGCUGUGAAGUUGCCAGUGAUUUUGGGUUGUGAGAGAAUGUUCCUGUGACGCGUUUGGGUUAUGGUUUCGACGAGUUGAGGAUAUGGACGCAGAAGUUACGAAGAGUUUAUCUAGUUGUUGUUGUGAUGUUUUGUAUUGUUUUAGUUAUUAUUUAUUGUUCCCUCGCCUUUAUCUUUAUACAUUCUGUAAGAGGGAUAGGAAUUGUAUUAGUUAAUACUUGUAACACUAUUUCAUAUAUAUACAUAUGUAUGUACUCUUUGUGAGUUUUGUAAGUUGUAUGGUAUGUAUGGAUGUACGUUACCUAACAAAAGUAUUUUAGAGCGAUAUUGCAGUUUAAAGUUUUAAACAGGCUCAUAUUUUAGUAUUAAAUAAUAUAAAAGUCGUCGUAAUAUCUGAGCAAUCAGAGUGAUGCAGCUGGAAGCGUAACUUUUUUAUAGUUAGGGUAUUACAGUAGUUACCUGGUAAGAUUCAUUACAUUGCCUUUAGUUAUAUAUGCUUAAUUAAGUCACCUCAUAUAUGUCAUAACAUCUGGGGUUAUUUAGGUACUUGGGUCCAACUUGUAACACAACCUUGGCCUGCUUCAGUCAAUGGUGUCAUGUUGCAUCGGGUGUUCUUAAUUUUUCUUCUGUGUGUUGAGACUUUCAAGCACUACAAAUCACUUAUUUUUCUUAAUGGCACCCACUUGUAUGGUAAAUACGGAGGCACUUUGCUCAUGGCUAUUGCUCAAGAUGGCAAUUCAAACAUAUUACCUAUUGCAUUUUCCGUAGUCAAGGGUGAGACAAAAGAGGCUUGGUCAUUUUUUCUUUUGUAUCUGAGGCAGUAUGUGACACCCCAACUAGGCGUGUUGCUGAUUUCAGACAGGCACAAAUUGAUUGAUGCUGCGUUGAAUGCAGAUGGAAGUGGAUGGAAACCACCGCAUGCCUUCCAGGAAUUUUGUACAAGACAUAUUCCUGCUAACUUCAUGACACACUUCAAGAACAAGUACUUGAAGAAGGUGCUUGUUAACGUAGCAUAUUCAAAGUUGCAAAAGGAGUUCGCCCAUUAUUUUGGUCGUCUGAAGGGAAAGAAUGUCGCAAUCACAAAUGGCUUAAAGAAAUGACACGUUCAUCAUGGACGCAGUAUGCAAAUGAGGGUUGUUGGUUUGGGCACAUGACACAAACAUCUCUGAGUGCAUCAACGCUAUCAUGAAGGCUACUUGUAAUUUGCACUUCACCGCUCUUGUCAAAUUGACCUAUUUCCAUUUGGGUGAACUUUUUGUGACAAAGGGUUCAGAGGCUUAAGCACAGCUUCAUGUGGGUGUUGAAUUCUCACAGAUGUUAAUGAAGGCCAUCGAGUUCAACUCAAAGCACGUGAAUACAAUGAAUGUUUAUCAGUUUGCAUGAUCGGUCGAGGUUCACCUUCACGAUUGAGGAAUUAGCAGCAGUGCCCAGGUCCAAGCAACAGAAUUAUCAAGUACUUCUUGAUGAGGGUAAGUUAAACUGUUGGUACUUUUAAGCUCUUCAUAUUCUAUGCCAUCAUGUUCUAGUAUAAUGCUCUUAUGCACGACUUGAUUGGAGGCGGUUUGUCCAUCCCAUGUAUCGCAUGGAGACCGUCUUCAGUGUUUACAAAGUAGAGUUUAGACCAAUAGGUCACGACAGUGACUGGCCAUCAUAUGACGGGCCCGUAUCUAGUCCAAUCUUAGGUUAAUGAGAGUAAAGAGAGGUUGGUCUGUUAGCACCAGGAUCUGUAAUAAUAUGGACAAUGUUGA